rnacentral:snoRNA from 1 species
CCUGGGUAAUGACAAGCAAAUGGUGCCUGAAUGUGAAGGUCAUAUUUGGCUUUAACUGAUU